AGAAGAGAAGGCAAAGGGUAUUGUGAAAUCAGAGAAACAGGACACAUCAUCCGAGCUCAAGUACAGUCAAGGCAAUGGUAUUGAGAUGUUCUCAAACGUUCUCGUGGACUGUAUAAUCUCGGAAAUUCCAGACCUGACGGGAAGUGUUGUUCAUAUGGGAGGCAGGCAACUUCGCGUGAUUAAAGGACGAACCAUUCCUUCCCAUAGCAACUAUGCAAAUAAGUAAUUCCAGAACCAACAACCC